UGGGCCUAAAGCAUCCGUAGCCGGUUGCAUAAGUUUUCGGUUAAAUCUAUGCGCUCAACGUAUAGGCCGCCGAAAAUACUGUGCAGCUAGGGAGUGGGAGAGGUACACGGUACUCAGUAGGAAGGGGUAAAAUCCUUUGAUCUAUUGAUGACCACCUGUGGCGAAGGCGGUGUACCAGAACACGUUCGACGGUGAGGGAUGAAAGCUGGGGGAGCAAACCGGAUUAGAUACCCGGGUAGUCCCAGCUGUAAACGAUGCAGACUCGGUGAUGCAUUGGCUUAUGGCCAGUGCAGUGCCGCAGGGAAGCCGUUAAGUUUGCCGCCUGGGAAGUACGUACGCAAGUAUGAAACUUAAAGGAAUUGGCGGGGGAGCA
rnacentral:rRNA from 2 species